AGAACUACAACUUCGAAGUAUGGAAUGAAGAGGUAACGCUCUGAAACAUACUCUUUAAUACUCCGACUAGCAUAUAAAAGCGAAAGCUGAUAUGUUAGAAGCUCGGUAAAGUCGGCAGAAGCACACCUAAGUUAAAGAAAUAAUCAAGUAAGGUUGGUACAAAAGUGGCUGGAAUCCACCUGCCAUGAAAGAUUAAAGUAUGAGAUAUGGUUUGUGAUAUGUCGGAAGUCUAUAAA
rnacentral:ncRNA from 1 species